rnacentral:rRNA from 1 species
GACGUAGGGCGCGAGCGUUGUCCGGAUUUAUUGGGCGUAAAGAGCGUGUAGGCGGCUCGGUAAGUCCGCUCUGAAAGCCCGGGGCUCAACCCCGGGAGGCGGGCGGAUACUGUCGAGCUAGAGUCCGGAAGAGGCGAGUGGAAUUCCUGGUGUAGCGGUGAAAUGCGCAGAUAUCAGGAGGAACACCGAUAGCGAAGGCAGCUCGCUGGGACGGUACUGACGCUGAGACGCGAAAGCGUGGGGAGCAAACAGG